rnacentral:rRNA from 1 species
GCUAAGAAUAUUCCGCAAUGGACGAAAGUCUGACGGAGCAACGCCGCGUGAGUGAUGAAGGUUUUCGGACUGUAAAGCUCUGUUGUUUAGGACGAAAGUGCCUGUUGCGAAUAGUUACAGGUAUUGACGGUACUGAACGAGGAAGCCACGGCUAACUACGUGCCAGCAGCCGCGGUAAUACGUAGGUGGCAAGCGUUGUCCGGAAUUAUUGGGCGUAAAGAGCAUGUAGGCGGGAAUCUAAGUCUGUUGUGAAAAUGCGGGGCUCAACCCCGUAUUGCGAUGGAAACUGGGUUUCUUGAGUGCAGGAGAGGAAAGGGGAAUUCCCAGUGUAGCGGUGAAAUGCGUAGAUAUUGGGAGGAACACCAGUGGCGAAGGCGCCUUUCUGGACUGUGUCUGACGCUGAGAUGCGAAAGCCAGGGUAGCGAACGGGAUUAGAAACCCGUGUAGUCC